GGUUAAGUGACUAAGCGUACAUGGUGGAUGCCUUGGCAGUCAGAGGCGAUGAAGGACGUACUAACCUGCGAUAAGCUGUGAGAAGUCGGUAAGAGACGCUAUUACUCACAGAUUUCCGAAUGGGGAAACCCACCCGAGAUAACUCGGGUAUCUGUUACUGAAUACAUAGGUAACAGAGGCGAACCGGGAGAACUGAAACAUCUAAGUACCCCGAGGAAAAGAAAUCAACCGAGAUUCCCUCAGUAGCGGCGAGCGAACGGGGAUUAGCCCUUAAGCAUCUUGGAAGUUAGUGGAACGGUCCUGGAAAGGCCGGCGAUACAGGGUGAUAGCCCCGUACACGAAAACAACCUUGAUGUGAAAUCGAGUAGGGCGGGACACGUGACAUCCUGUCUGAAUAUGGGGGGACCAUCCUCCAAGGCUAAAUACUCCUGACUGACCGAUAGUGAACCAGUACCGUGAGGGAAAGGCGAAAAGAACCCCUGUGAGGGGAGUGAAAUAGAACCUGAAACCGUGUACGUACAAGCAGUGGGAGCCCUUCGGGGUGACUGCGUACCUUUUGUAUAAUGGGUCAGCGACUUACAUUUUGUAGCGAGGUUAACCGUAUAGGGGAGCCGUAGGGAAACCGAGUCUUAACUGGGCGUCUAGUUGCAAGGUGUAGACCCGAAACCGGGUGAUCUAGCCAUGGGCAGGUUGAAGGUUGAGUAACAUCAACUGGAGGACCGAACCCACUAACGUUGCAAAGUUAGGGGAUGACCUGUGGCUGGGGGUGAAAGGCCAAUCAAACUCGGAGAUAGCUGGUUCUCCCCGAAAGCUAUUUAGGUAGCGCCUCGGACGAAUACUACUGGGGGUAGAGCACUGUUUGGGCUAGGGGGUCAUCCCGACUUACCAACCCCAUGCAAACUCCGAAUACCAGUAAGUAAUAUCCGGGAGACACACGGCGGGUGCUAACGUCCGUCGUGAAGAGGGAAACAACCCAGACCGCCGGCUAAGGUCCCAAAGUUCUGGUUAAGUGGGAAACGAUGUGGGAAGGCUCAGACAGCUAGGAUGUUGGCUUAGAAGCAGCCAUCAUUUAAAGAAAGCGUAAUAGCUCACUAGUCGAGUCGGCCUGCGCGGAAGAUGUAACGGGGCUCAAACCAGGCACCGAAGCCGCGGAUUCACACUUAUGUGUGAGUGGUAGGGGAGCGUUCUGUAAGUCUGCGAAGGUGUAUCGAGAGGUAUGCUGGAGAUAUCAGAAGUGCGAAUGCUGACGUAAGUAACGAUAAAGGGGGUGAAAAGCCUCCUCGCCGGAAGACCAAGGGUUCCUGUCCAACGUUAAUCGGGGCAGGGUGAGUCGACCCCUAAGGCGAGGCCGAAAGGCGUAGUCGAUGGGAAGCAGGUUAAUAUUCCUGCACGACUUGUAAUUGCGAUGGGGGGACGGAGAAGGCUAGGUGGGCCAGGCGACGGUUGUCCUGGUGAAAGUGCGUAGGUGGUGUUUCUAGGCAAAUCCGGAGACACAACACUGAGACACGAGACGAACACACUACGGUGUGGAAGCCAUUGAUGCCCUGCUUCCAGGAAAAGCCUCUAAGCUUCAGAUUACAAGUCAUCGUACCCCAAACCGACACAGGUGGUCGGGUAGAGAAUACCAAGGCGCUUGAGAGAACUCGGGUGAAGGAACUAGGCAAAAUAGAACCGUAACUUCGGGAGAAGGUUCGCUCUUGACAGUGAAGUCCCUUGCGGAUGGAGCAGUUGGGAGUCGCAGUGACCAGAUGGCUGGGACUGUUUAUCAAAAACACAGCACUCUGCAAACACGAAAGUGGACGUAUAGGGUGUGACACCUGCCCGGUGCCGGAAGGUUAAUUGAUGGGGUUAGCGCAAGCGAAGCUCUUGAUCGAAGCCCCGGUAAACGGCGGCCGUAACUAUAACGGUCCUAAGGUAGCGAAAUUCCUUGUCGGGUAAGUUCCGACCUGCACGAAUGGUGUAACCAUGGCCAUGCUGUCUCCACCCGAGACUCAGUGAAAUCGAAUUCGCCGUGAAGAUGCGGUGUACCCGCGGCUAGACGGAAAGACCCCGUGAACCUUUACUACAGCUUGGCACUGAACAUUGAACCUACAUGUGUAGGAUAGGUGGGAGGCUUUGAAGGCGUGACGCCAGUUGCGCUGGAGCCGUCCUUGAAAUACCACCCUUGUAUGUUUGAUGUUCUAACGCAGGGCCCUGAAUCGGGCUCGCGGACAGUGCCUGGUGGGUAGUUUGACUGGGGCGGUCUCCUCCCAAAGAGUAACGGAGGAGCACGAAGGUUGGCUAAUCCUGGUCGGACAUCAGGAGGUUAGUGCAAUGGCAUAAGCCAGCUUAACUGCGAGACGGACAGGUCGAGCAGGUACGAAAGUAGGUCAUAGUGAUCCGGUGGUUCUGAAUGGAAGGGCCAUCGCUCAACGGAUAAAAGGUACUCCGGGGAUAACAGGCUGAUACCGCCCAAGAGUUCAUAUCGACGGCGGUGUUUGGCACCUCGAUGUCGGCUCAUCACAUCCUGGGGCUGAAGUCGGUCCCAAGGGUAUGGCUGUUCGCCAUUUAAAGUGGUACGCGAGCUGGGUUCAGAACGUCGUGAGACAGUUCGGUCCCUAUCUGCCGUGGGCGUUGGAUGAUUGAAGGGAGUUGCUCCUAGUACGAGAGGACCGGAGUGAAAGAACCUCUGGUGUUCGGGUUGUCACGCCAGUGGCACUGCCCGGUAGCUAAGUUCGGAAUCGAUAACCGCUGAAAGCAUCUAAGCGGGAAGCGAGCCCUGAGAUGAGUCAUCCCUGACCCCUUGAGGGUCCUAAAGGGCCGUUGGAGACCACAACGUUGAUAGGUGGGGUGUGUAAGCGCGGCGACGUGUUGAGCUAACCCAUACUAAUUACCCGUGAGGCUUAACCAU
rnacentral:rRNA from 1 species